rnacentral:rRNA from 1 species
UUUCGCAAUGCCCGAAAGGGUGACGAAGCGACGCCGCGUGUGGGAAGAAGGCCUUCGGGUUGUAAACCACUGUCGGGAGUUAGGAAAUGCAGGUGCGUUAAUAGCGCACUUGCUUGACUAAGGCUCCAGAGGAAGCCACGGCUAACUCUGUGCCAGCAGCCGCGGUAAUACAGAGGCGGCAAGCGUUGUUCGGAAUUAUUGGGCGUAAAGAGCACGUAGGCGGCCCUGCAAGUCAGUUGUGAAAGCCUUCCGCUUAACGGAAGAACGGCAUCUGAUACUACAGGGCUUGAGUACGGGAGGGGAGAGUGGAACUUCUGGUGGAGCGGUGAAAUGCGUAGAUAUCAGAAGGAACGCCGGCGGCGAAAGCGACUCUCUGGUCCGAAACUGACGCUGAGUGUGCGAAAGCUAGGGGAGCAAACGGGAUUAGAUACCCCGGUAGUCCUAGCCGUAAACGAUGGGCACUAAGUAGAGGGGUUUU